rnacentral:piRNA from 1 species
CCUUGCAUCAGGGAUUAGGAUCA